rnacentral:SRP_RNA from 1 species
UUAUGCUAAGCGGGGAGGUAGCGGUGUCCUAUACCUGCAAUCCGCUAUAGCAGGGCUGAAUUCCCAUUGUGCGGCAAGCUUUUUCUUGGACUGACUGUAGCACGUGGUGUUGAGAGUUUGGUCCUGGGCAACUGGAUGUUACUGAACUCCGUCAGAUCUGGAAAGAAGCAGCGGCAGGUAAUUUGACAGUGUGACACAGGGUAGCCUAGCUUGAGCUAACGAUUACCUUAACGCUUGGAUCUGCUUGUCAACCUCUGGGUGCAUAA